rnacentral:rRNA from 1 species
GUUGAACGCUUUCUUCUUCCCUAAUACAUUCAAGUCGAGCGAACGGACGAGAAGCAUGCUUUUCUGAUGUUAGCGACGGGUGUGUGAGUAAUAUGUAUAUAACUUAUCUUUAAGACUGGGAUAAGUUCGGGAAACCUGAUCUAAUACCGGUUAAUAUGUUGAACCGUAUGGUUCAUAAGUGUAAUACGUUCUUGCUUCAACUUAUAGUUGGAUCCUCUCUGCAUUAGCUAAUUGGUAAGGUAACGGCUUACCAAGGCAACGAUGCAUAGCCGACCUGAGAGGGUGAUGGGCCACACUGGAACUGAGACACGGUCCAGACUCCUACGGGAGGCAGCAGUAGGGAAUCUUCCGCAAUGGGCGAAAGCCUGACGGAGCAACGCCGCGUGAGUGAAGAAGGUCUUCGGAUCGUAAAAAAAUGGAAUUAGGGAAGAACACAAGUGAAAGUAACUGUGCACAUCUUGACGGUACCUACACAGAAAGCCAGGGCUAAAUACGGG